UACAGAGGGUGCGAGCGUUAAUCGGAAUUACUGGGCGUAAAGCGUGCGUAGACGGUUAUUUAAGUCGGAUGUGAAAGCCCCGGGCUCAACCUGGGAAUUGCAUUCGAGACUGAAUAGCUAGGGUGCGGUAGAGGGAAGCGGAAUUUCCGGUGUAGCGGUGAAAUGCGUAGAUAUCGGGAGGAACACCAGUGGCGAAGGCGACUACCUGGCCUGUUCUUGACGCUGAGGCGCGAAAGCUAGGGGAGCAAACGGGG
rnacentral:rRNA from 1 species